rnacentral:rRNA from 1 species
UACAGAGGGUGCAAGCGUUGUUCGGAAUUAUUGGGCGUAAAGGGCGCGUAGGCGGUGCUGUAAGUCUGUAGUGAAAUCUCUGGGCUCAACUCAGAGUCUGCUAUAGAAACUGCAGUGCUGGAGUGUGGGAGAGGUGAGUGGAAUUCCCGGUGUAGCGGUGAAAAUGCGCAGAUAUCGGGAGGAACACCGGUGGCGAAGGCGGCUCACUGGACCGGCAUUGACGCUGAGGUGCGAAAGCGUGGGGAGCAAACAGG